rnacentral:rRNA from 1 species
ACUACGGGUGGCUGCAGUAGGGAAUCUUCGGCAAUGGGGGCAACCCUGACCGAGCAACGCCGCGUGAGUGAAGAAGGUUUUCGGAUCGUAAAGCUCUGUUGUAAGUCAAGAACGAGUGUGAGAGUGGAAAGUUCACACUGUGACGGUAGCUUACCAGAAAGGGACGGCUAACUACGUGCCAGCAGCCGCGGUAAUACGUAGGUCCCGAGCGUUGUCCGGAUUUAUUGGGCGUAAAGCGAGCGCAGGCGGUUUGAUAAGUCUGAAGUUAAAGGCUGUGGCUCAACCAUAGUUCGCUUUGGAAACUGUCAAACUUGAGUGCAGAAGGGGAGAGUGGAAUUCCAUGUGUAGCGGUGAAAUGCGUAGAUAUAUGGAGGAACACCGGUGGCGAAAGCGGCUCUCUGGUCUGUAACUGACGCUGAGGCUCGAAAGCGUGGGGAGCGAACAGGGUUAGAUACCCGAGUAGUC